GCCAGCUGCAAUUUCAUUUGGACAAAGAAUACGUUUGGAUUGGCAUACAGUGACUGCGCGGCAAGCAACACAGCACGGCUCAGCCCGCAACCAAAGAUCGUACAAAUCAACAGCCUUCAAACAAGCCACAUUAACCUCAAGUGAUUUAUAUUUUCUUACGAAUCGCGAAUCACAAAACUAGUGUCUAUAUUUGUCAUUUAAAAAAAAAAAAUCCCAAAAGCUUAAGUUUGAAAAAUAAAAUUGAAAGAAAAUUAAUAAAAAAAAAUUGAGAUUCAUAUAUUGAUAUCUUAAUUUUAAGUGUACAAAAUUUUAUUUAAAUAUAUCAGAUACAAAAAAAAAAAAUCCGACAGUGCCAAAUCAAAAGGAUUAUGAACAAGUGAAUAAUUAUUGUAAAAAAAAAAAAAAAGAAAAUUUAAGAAAUAAAAAAUCAAAUUUG